AUUGAACGCUGGCGGCAGGCCUAACACAUGCAAGUCGAACGGUAGCACAGGAGAGCUUGCUCUCUGGGUGACGAGUGGCGGACGGGUGAGUAAUGCAUGGGGAGCUGCCCAAUCGAGGGGGAUACCAGCUGGAAACGGCUGCUAAUACCGCAUACGCCCUGAGGGGGAAAGGUGGGGACCUUCGGGCCUACCGCGAUUGGAUGCACCCAUGUGGGAUUAGCUAGUUGGUGAGGUAACGGCUCACCAAGGCGACGAUCUCUAGCUGGUCUGAGAGGAUGACCAGCCACACUGGAACUGAGACACGGUCCAGACUCCUACGGGAGGCAGCAGUGGGGAAUAUUGCACAAUGGGGGAAACCCUGAUGCAGCCAUGCCGCGUGUGUGAAGAAGGCCUUCGGGUUGUAAAGCACUUUCAGUGGGGAGGAAGGGUUGAUGUCUAAUACGCAUCAACAUUGACGUUACCCACAGAAGAAGCACCGGCUAACUCCGUGCCAGCCGCCGCUGUAA
rnacentral:rRNA from 1 species